AAAAAGACAAACCCUGGUUUUCGUGCCCAACGUUUGACCGUCCGUCUUAUUUGAAAAAAUUAUGAAAAUAAAUAAAAAUACAAGUCACGCAUAAAAUAUUAAUCAUAUUUUAUCAUCUAACAACAAUAAAAAUAUGAAUUAUAAAAAAAUUUAUAUAAGACGGACAAUCAAAGUUGGACACGGAAACCCAAGGUUUGCCUUUUU
rnacentral:pre_miRNA from 1 species